UACGUAGGGUGCAAGCGUUGUCCGGAAUUAUUGGGCGUAAAGAGCUCGUAGGCGGCUUAGUAAGUCGGGUGUGAGACCUCCAGGCUCAACCUGGAGACGCCACCCGAUACUGCUGUGGCUAGAGUCCGGUAGGGGAGCGUGGAAUUCCUGGUGUAGCGGUGAAAUGCGCAGAUAUCAGGAGGAACACCAGCGGCGAAGGCGGCGCUCUGGGCCGGUACUGACGCUGAGGAGCGAAAGCGUGGGGAGCAAACAGG
rnacentral:rRNA from 1 species